rnacentral:rRNA from 1 species
GACGAACGCUGGCGGCGUGCUUAACACAUGCAAGUCGAACGGAAAGGCCUGCUUUCCCUUGUGGAUUGCGGGUACUCGCGUGGCGAACGGGUGAGUAACACGUGAGUGAUCUGCCCCCAACUUGGGUAUAAGCCUGGGAAACUGGGUCUAAUUCCCGAUAGGACUGCAGGGUGGUGCCUGUGGUGGAAAACGAUUUUCUAGUGGUUGGGGAUGAGCUCGCGGCCUAUCAGCUUGUUGGUGGGGUAAUGGCCUACCAAGGCGGCGACGGGUAGCCGGCCUGGGAGGGUGGACGGCCACAUUGGGACUGAGAUACGGCCCCGACUCCUACGGGAGGCAGCCGUGGGGAGUAUUGCACAAGGGGCGGAAGCCUGAGGCAGCGACGCCGCGUGGGGGAUGACGGCUUUCGGGUUGUAACCUCCUUUCGACCGCGAGGAAGCCACCUGGUUGGAAGGGUGGUGACGGUAGUGGUAGAAGAAGCACCGGCUAACUACGUG